rnacentral:lncRNA from 1 species
CUGUCCCUUUAGCAUCCGGAGGCAGGUGGGGACCGGUCCCGUGGGUUGCAACGGAUGGGGCCAGGGCAGGUCCGCUGGCGUUGAGUAGAUCCUGCUCCAGCUUUUAUAUAUCAUAGAUCACAGAGGCCUUGUUCUCAAGCAGGAAAGGGAGCAGUGGAGGAAGGAGGAUGGGGCUGCUGAGCUGGGGAUGGCGCACUCCUGAUGCCUCAUUCUGGGAAAGGACUACUCAGCAUUGCCUAAUGAGCGCCCAAGAUGCAAUUAAGAAAACGAUGGAAGAGCCAUUCAGAAAGCCCUUCCUUGGUGAGGAAACUGAACAGCAGCGGUCCCAGGGAUGGGACAAAGAGCUCCCUUUGUUGCCUAAGGAGUCCAUGCUUUUCUCUCCUAAUCCAGUAGACUGCUCAUCUCCUCCUGGAGGCAGAGUUGCAGCUCUUUGCAUUUGUGGAUGUUGGAUGGCAGAUGAAGCCUGUCACUUAAAUGUAACUUUCUUGCAAAUGGGUCCUCUCAAAGCAAUGUGGAAAGCUUUCAAAUUAAUUGGUUUAAUUUCGUAAUAAAGUUC